GUUCGCAAUGAUGAUUUUUAAAAUUCAAGCUCAACAGACCGGAUUACAAGCUUACUCUCUUUGGGAAGUUUGUAUGUCGAUAACCAGCACUGAGCGAUC
rfam:Ricinus communis ctg_1100012361039, whole genome shotgun sequence.